rnacentral:rRNA from 1 species
GUAGCUGGUCUGAGAGGAUGAACAGCCACACUGGGACUGAGACACGGCCCAGACUCCUACGGGAGGCAGCAGUGGGGAAUAUUGGACAAUGGGGGCAACCCUGAUCCAGCAAUGCCGCGUGUGUGAAGAAGGCCUGAGGGUUGUAAAGCACUUUCAGUGGGGAGGAGGAUUACUAGGUUAAGAGCCAGGUGAUUGGACGUUACCCACAGAAGAAGCACCGGCUAACUCCGUGCCAGCAGCCGCGGUAAUACGGAGGGUGCGAGCGUUAAUCGGAAUGACUGGGCGUAAAGGGUGCGUAGGUGGUUUUUUAAGUUAUGGGUGAAAUCACUGGGCUCAACCUGGUGUUGAAUCAUAAUACUGAGAGACUCGAGUAUAG